GAUGAACGCUAGCGAUAGGCUUAACACAUGCAAGUCGAGGGGCAGCAUGGUCUUAGCUUGCUAAGACUGAUGGCGGCCGGCGCACGGGUGCGUAACGCGUAUGCAACUUGCCUCACAGAGGGGGAUAACCCGUCGAAAGACGGACUAAUACCGCGUACACUUGGGAUAGGGCAUCCUGACCCAAGGAAAUGAAAUUCGCUGUGAGAUAGGCAUGCGUCCCAUUAGCUCGUUGGUGAGGUAACGGCUCACCAAGGCGACGAUGGGUAGGGGAACUGAGAGGUUGAACCCCCACACUGGUACUGAGACACGGACCAGACUCCUACGGGAGGCAGCAGUGAGGAAUAUUGGGCAAUGGGCGAGAGCCUGAACCAGCCAAGUCGCGUGAAGGAUGACUGUCUUAUGGAUUGUAAACUUCUUUUAUACGGGAAUAACAAGAGUCACGUGUGGCUCCCUGCAUGUACCGUAUGAAUAAGCAUCGGCUAACUCCGUG
rnacentral:rRNA from 1 species